UACGUAGGGUGCGAGCGUUAAUCGGAAUUACUGGGCGUAAAGCGUGCGCAGGCGGUCUGUUAAGACCGAUGUGAAAUCCCCGGGCUUAACCUGGGAAUGGCAUUGGUGACUGUACGGCUAGAGUGUGUCAGAGGGGGGUAGAAUUCCACGUGUAGCAGUGAAAUGCGUAGAGAUGUGGAGGAAUACCGAUGGCGAAGGCAGCCCCCUGGGAUAACACUGACGCUCAUGCACGAAAGCGUGGGGAGCAAACAGG
rnacentral:rRNA from 1 species